rnacentral:rRNA from 1 species
UGGAUCAUGUUGUUUAAUUCGAUGAUACGCGAAGAACCUUACCAGGUCUUGACAUCCCCCGCAAUGCUCUGGAGACAGAGCGGAGGUAUCCGGGGAGACAGGUGGUGCAUGGUUGUCGUCAGCUCGUGUCGUGAGAUGUUGGGUUAAGUCCCGCAACGAGCGCAACCCUUGUCCUUAGUUGCCAUCAUUAAGUUGGGCACUCUAAGGAGACUGCCGGUGUUAAACCGGAGGAAGUGGGGAUGACGUCAAGUCCUCAUGGCCCUUAUGUCCAGGGCUACACACGUGCUACAAUGGCCGGUACAAAGGGCAGCAAAGCCGCGAGGUGGAGCCAAUCCCAUAAAGCCGGUCUCAGUUCGGAUUGGAGUCUGCAACUCGACUCCAUGAAGUUGGAAUCGCUAGUAAUCGCGGAUCAGCAUGCCGCGGUGAAUACGUUCCCGGGCCUU